AGCGAACGCUGGCGGCAGGCUUAACACAUGCAAGUCGAACGCAUCACUUCGGUGGUGAGUGGCAGACGGGUGAGUAACACGUGGGAACGUGCCCUUCGAUCUGGGAUAACUUCGGGAAACUGGAGCUAAUACCGGAUACGCCCUUUUGGGGAAAGGUUUACUGUCGAAGGAUCGGCCCGCGUCUGAUUAGCUAGUUGGUGGGGUAACGGCCUACCAAGGCGACGAUCAGUAGCUGGUCUGAGAGGAUGAUCAGCCACACUGGGACUGAGACACGGCCCAGACUCCUACGGGAAGCAGCAGUGGGGAAUAUUGGACAAUGGGCGCAAGCCUGAUCCAGCCAUGCCGCGUGAGUGAUGAAGGCCUUAGGGUUGUAAAGCUCUUUUGUCCGGGACGAUAAUGACGGUACCGGAAGAAUAAGCCCCGGCUAACUUCGUG
rnacentral:rRNA from 1 species